GUGGGUUUUAUCUGCACGCAAGUCUGUAGCCCAUCCGCGCCUGAUGCCCCCAAGGGCCUGGAAGUGGAGUUAAUAGACUUUUGUGAGCCAGCGUGUGAUGUGGGCACUGGUAGUGCCACCCCAUUCUCCAGAAGAACACUUCGUUCCUCUAACCACUGAGUGAGCCUCCGCCGUUUGAGGCAGGGUCUCACCAUAUAUCCCUGGCUGGCCUGGAACUGACUAUGUCGACCAGGUUGGCUUAGAACUCCACUUACCAGUGUUUUCUAAAUGCUGGGAUUAAAGAUGUGCCCUGGCAGGCACCACUUCUAAACCCAUUUUCCCUCCCCUCUCUCUGUCUCUCACAGUGCCAUCAAAUGGAACUUUACCAAGUUUCUCAUUGAUAAGAACGGCUGCGUGGUGAAGCGCUAUGGUCCCAUGGAGGAGCCCCAGGUGAUAGAGAAGGACCUGCCGUGCUAUCUCUAGCCCUACAAGUGUGUGCCCCUGCACCGAGCCCCCCUGCCCUGUGACCCCUGGAGCCUUCCACCCCGGCACUCAUGACGGUCUGCCUGAAAACCAGCCCGCUGGUGGGGCAGUCCCGAGGACCUGGCGUGCAUCCCCGCCGGAGGAAGGUCCAGAGGCCUGUGGCCCCGGGCUCGAGCUUCACCUUGGCUGCCUUGUGGGAAUAAAAUGUAGAAAUGU
rnacentral:lncRNA from 1 species